rnacentral:sRNA from 1 species
UUCCUCAUCCUCUUCGUCCAGCCACAUCC